UGUAGGUCAAAAUGUUUAAUCUGAAUAACAACAAUAGAUUGUAUCCAUAAAAUUUGAAUAUCAACAAAUGAAAGUUGUGCUGAAAAUGUACAUGGUAGUUUAUAGCACUAUUUACAGAGUUAAAAUAUGGGUAUUUCAAAACAAUAUUGAAGUAAGGUUUAUAUCUUUAAGGAAGACAUAUCAGUCUUUGUGUUCUAGAGUAUUAUUUCCAUAUCAGCCUUUGAGUUCUAUAAAAUUAUUUCCAUAUCAGCCUUUGUGUUCUAUAAAAUUAUUUCCACAUCAGCCUUUGUGUUCUAUAGUAUUAUUUCCAUAUCAGCCUUU